rnacentral:tRNA from 1 species
GCUCCCUUAGCUCAAUUGGCAGAGCAAUUGACUCUUAAUCAAUAGGUUGUAGGUUCGAUUCCUACAGGGAGCAC